rnacentral:rRNA from 1 species
UACGGAGAUCCAAGCGUUAUCCGGAAUCAUUGGGUUUAAAGGGUCCGUAGGCGGUUUAAUAAGUCAGUGGUGAAAGCCCAUCGCUCAACGGUGGAACGGCCAUUGAUACUGUUAAACUUGAAUUAUUAGGAAGUAACUAGAAUAUGUAGUGUAGCGGUGAAAUGCUUAGAGAUUACAUGGAAUACCAAUUGCGAAGGCAGGUUACUACUAAUGGAUUGACGCUGAUGGACGAAAGCGUGGGUAGCGAACAGG